rnacentral:rRNA from 1 species
AUUGAACGCUGGCGGCAGGCCUAACACAUGCAAGUCGAGCGAGCGGCGGACGGGUGAGUAAUGUAUGGGGAUCUGCCCGAUAGCGGGGGAUAACUCCUGGAAACGGUGGCUAAUACCGCAUACUAUCGGAUGAACCCAUAUGGGAUUAGCGAGUAGGUGGGGUAAAGGCUCUCCUAGGCGACGAUCUCUAGCUGUUCUGAGAGGAUGAUCAGCCACACUGGGACUGAGACACGGCCCAGAUGCCUACGGGAGGCAGCAGUGGGGAAUAUUGAACAAGGGGAGCAAGCCUGAUGCAGCCAUGCCGCGUGUAUGAAGAAGGCCUUAGGGUUGGAAAGUACUUUCAGCGGGGAGGCGUUACCCGCAGAAGAAGCACCGGCUAACUCCGUGCCAGCAGCCGCGGUAAUAC